rnacentral:rRNA from 1 species
CACGGGGGGAGCAAGCGUUGUUCGGAAUCACUGGGCGUAAAGGGCGUCUAGGCGGUCAGGUAAGUGAGACGUGAAAUGCCUCGGCUCACCCGAGGAGCUGCGUCUCAUACUGCUUGGCUUGAGUAUGGGAGAGGAUGUGGGAAUUCCUGGUGUAGCGGUGAAAUGCGUAGAUAUCAGGAGGAACACCGGUGGCGAAGGCGCACAUCUGGCCCAAUACUGACGCUGAAGCGCGAAAGCUAGGGGAGCAAACGGG